rnacentral:rRNA from 1 species
AGUGAACGCUGGCGGUAGGCCUAACACAUGCAAGUCGAACGGCAGCACAGUAAGUGCUUGCUCUUACGGGUGGCGCGUGGCGGACGGGUGAGGAAUACAUCGGAAUCUACUUUUUCGUGGGGGCUAACGUAGGGAAACUUACGCUAAUACCGCAUACGACCUACGGGUGAAAGCACGGGAUCUUCGGACCUUGCGCGAUUGAAUGAGCCGAUGUCGGAUUAGCUAGUUGGCGGGGUAAAGGCCCACCACGGCGACGAUCCGUAGCUGGUCUGAGAGGAUGAACAGGCAGACUGGAACUGAGACACGCCCCAGACUCCUACGGGAGGCAGCAGUGGGGAAUAUUGGACGAUGGGGGAAAGGCGGAUCCAGCCAUACCGCGGGAGGGAAGAAGGCCUUCGGGUGGUAAAACGCUGUUGGUGGGAGGGAAAAGAAGCAGUUUAAUACCCCGCUGUUCUGACGGUACCCAAAGAAUAAGCACCGGCUAACUUCGUG